rnacentral:tRNA from 1 species
GGGGUAUAGCUCAGUUGGUAGAGCGCUUGAAUGGCAUUCAAGAGGCCAGCGGUUCGAACCCGCUUAUCUCC